rnacentral:misc_RNA from 1 species
UAUAUAUAUAUAUAUAUAUACAACAAUUCUUUUUUUAAGAAAUAGAUCCCUCACCUGCGCCACGUUGCUGCCGUCGCCGCCGCCAGGUAAGUCCUCUCCUCCUCUUCCUCCUUCUCCUCCUUUUGUCUUCUGAUGCGGGGCGAGUCUAAGGCAAGAGACGAGAGUCUGCGCUUUUAACCUAAGUAUUUUCUAUUUUUAAGAAACGGUUGUCUGACUUCUAGUAAUUCCGGAAACGCCUCGCCGCGGUGUCAUCUCGUUUCCAUGUCGGAAACGUUUCGGGAGGGGAAACCCCACCCAGUCUCGUUUCCAUGUCGCAAUAAGUUUCAGUUGGAAAACAAACCCAAUUCGCGAAAGAGCUAAAAAUGCAAAACCCACUCUUGUAACAAUUAGCUGAUGGAAGGAACCCAUAGACAUUUAAAGUAUGAGCGUAUACAAUGACGAGCCCAAAACGCCCUUUUCUCAUUUCCGUUGUCUUUGCUUCCCUCUCCACUGCUACUGGCAUCUCCCCUCCUGUCAG